rnacentral:rRNA from 1 species
AGAGUUUGAUCAUGGCUCAGAUUGAACGCUGGCGGCAGGCUUAACACAUGCAAGUCGAGCGGGGGAAGGUAGCUUGCUACUGGACCUAGCGGCGGACGGGUGAGUAAUGCUUAGGAAUCUGCCUAUUAGUGGGGGACAACAUCUCGAAAGGGAUGCUAAUACCGCAUACGUCCUACGGGAGAAAGCAGGGGAUCUUCGGACCUUGCGCUAAUAGAUGAGCCUAAGUCGGAUUAGCUAGUUGGUGGGGUAAAGGCCUACCAAGGCGACGAUCUGUAGCGGGUCUGAGAGGAUGAUCCGCCACACUGGGACUGAGACACGGCCCAUACGUCCUACGGGAGAAAGCAGUGGGGAAUAUUGGACAAUGGGGGGAACCCUGAUCCAGCUAUGCCGCGUGUGUGAAGAAGGCCUUAUGGUUGUAAAGCACUUUAAGCGAGGAGGAGGCUACUUUAGUUAAUACCUAGAGAUAGUGGACGUUACUCGCAGAAUAAGCACCGGCUAACUCUGUGCCAGCAGCCGCGGUAAUACAGAGGGUGCGAGCGUUAAUCGGAUUUACUGGGCGUAAAGCGUGCGUAGGCGGCUUAUUAAGUCGGAUGUGAAAUCCCCGAGCUUAACUUGGGAAUUGCAUUCGAUACUGGUGAGCUAGAGUAUGGGAGAGGAUGGUAGAAUUCCAGGUGUAGCGGUGAAAUGCGUAGAGAUCUGGAGGAAUACCGAUGGCGAAGGCAGCCAUCUGGCCUAAUACUGACGCUGAGGUACGAAAGCAUGGGGAGCAAACAGGAUUAGAUACCCUGGUAGUCCAUGCCGUAAACGAUGUCUACUAGCCGUUGGGGCCUUUGAGGCUUUAGUGGCGCAGCUAACGCGAUAAGUAGACCGCCUGGGGAGUACGGUCGCAAGACUAAAACUCAAAUGAAUUGACGGGGGCCCGCACAAGCGGUGGAGCAUGUGGUUUAAUUCGAUGCAACGCGAAGAACCUUACCUGGCCUUGACAUACUAGAAACUUUCCAGAGAUGGAUUGGUGCCUUCGGGAAUCUAGAUACAGGUGCUGCAUGGCUGUCGUCAGCUCGUGUCGUGAGAUGUUGGGUUAAGUCCCGCAACGAGCGCAACCCUUUUCCUUACUUGCCAGCAUUUCGGAUGGGAACUUUAAGGAUACUGCCAGUGACAAACUGGAGGAAGGCGGGGACGACGUCAAGUCAUCAUGGCCCUUACGGCCAGGGCUACACACGUGCUACAAUGGUCGGUACAAAGGGUUGCUACACAGCGAUGUGAUGCUAAUCUCAAAAAGCCGAUCGUAGUCCGGAUUGGAGUCUGCAACUCGACUCCAUGAAGUCGGAAUCGCUAGUAAUCGCGGAUCAGAAUGCCGCGGUGAAUACGUUCCCGGGCCUUGUACACACCGCCCGUCACACCAUGGGAGUUUGUUGCACCAGAAGUAGCUAGCCUAACUGCAAAGAGGGCGGUUACCACGGUGUGGCCGAUGACUGGGGUGAAGUCGUAACAAGGUAGCCGUAGGGGAACCUGCGGCUGGAUCACCU